UGAAUACGAGAUGCUACGGCGUCGAAGCAGUCUAUGUCAUACUUCCAAGAAAAGCUUGCACUGUCAUAAACAAAUAAUGCCUGUACCAUAACCGACACAGGUGGGUAGGUAGAGUAUACUAAGGGGCGCGAGAUAACUCUCUCUAAGGAACUCGGCAAAAUGACUCCGUAACUUCGGGAGAAGGAGUGCCUUAUUUAUAAGGUUGCAAUAACAAGAUCCAAGCAACUGUUUACCAAAAACACAGGUCUCCGCUAAGUCGUAAGACGAUGUAUGGGGGCUGACGCCUGCCCAGUGCCAGAAGGUUAAAGAAGUUGGUUAGCAUCCGCGAAGCUGAUAACUGAAGCCCUGGUGAACGGCGGCCGUAACAAUAACGGUCCUAAGGUAGCGAAAUUCCUUGUCGGGUAAGUUCCGACCCGCACGAAAGGCGUAAUGAUUUGGAUACUGUCUCGGAGAGGGGCUCGGUGAAAUAGACUUGUCUGUGAAGAUGCGGACUACCUGCACCAGGACAGAAAGACCCUAUGAAGCUUUACUGUAACCUGAAAUUGAAAUUGGACUUUACUUGCGCAGUAUAGGUGGGAGGCGUUGAGAAUAUUCUUGCGGGAUUAUUGGAGCCAUCAGUGAGAUACCACUCUUGUAAUGUUAGAUUUCUAACUUUGUAUCAUUAUCUGGUCAAAGAACAGUUUCAGGCGGGCAGUUUGACUGGGGCGGUCGCCUCCUAAACGGUAACGGAGGCGCACAAAGGUUUCCUCUGAACGGGUAGAAAUCGUAUCUAGAGUGUAAAGGCACAAGGAAGCUUGACUGUGAGACCUACAAGUCGAGCAGGGACGAAAGUCGGUCUUAGUGAUCUGACGGUGCUGAGUGGAAAGGCCGUCACUCAACGGAUAAAAGUUACUCUAAGGAUAACAGGCUGAUCUCCCCCAAGAGUUCACAUCGACGGGGAGGUUUGGCACCUCGAUGUCGGCUCAUCGCAUCCUGGGGCGGUAGUACGUCCCAAGGGUUGGGCUGUUCGCCCAUGAAAGCGGUACGCGAGCUGGGUUCAGAACGUCGUGAGACAGUUCGGUCCAUAUCCGGUGUAGGCGUUAGAAUAUUGAGAGGAGCCUUCUUUAGUACGAGAGGACCGAGAAGGACAUACCUCUGGUGUACCAGUUAUCGUGCCAACGGUAAACGCUGGGUAGCUAUGUGUGGAGUGGGUAACCGCUGAAAGCAUCUAAGUGGGAAGCCCACCUCAAGAUAAG
rnacentral:rRNA from 1 species